rnacentral:rRNA from 1 species
GGUUAAGCGACUAAGCGUACACGGUGGAUGCCCUGGCAGUCAGAGGCGAUGAAGGACGUGCUAAUCUGCGAAAAGCGUCGGUAAGGUGAUAUGAACCGUUAUAACCGGCGAUGUCCGAAUGGGGAAACCCAGUGCAAUUCGUUGCACUAUCGUUAACUGAAUACAUAGGUUAACGAGGCGAACCGGGGGAACUGAAACAUCUAAGUACCCCGAGGAAAAGAAAUCAACCGAGAUUCCCCCAGUAGCGGCGAGCGAACGGGGAGCAGCCCAGAGUCUGAAUCAGCUUGUGUGUUAGUGGAACGGUCUGGAAAGUCCGACGGUACAGGGUGAUAGUCCCGUACACCAAAAUGCACAGGUUGUGAACUCGAAGAGUAGGGCGGGACACGUGGUAUCCUGUCUGAAUAUGGGGGGACCAUCCUCCAAGGCUAAAUACUCCUGACUGACCGAUAGUGAACCAGUACCGUGAGGGAAAGGCGAAAAGAACCCCGGCGAGGGGAGUGAAAAAGAACCUGAAACCGUGUACGUACAAGCAGUGGGAGCACCUUCGGGUGUGACUGCGUACCUUUUGUAUAAUGGGUCAGCGACUUAUAUUCUGUAGCAAGGUUAACCGUAUAGGGGAGCCGCAGGGAAACCGAGUCUUAACUGGGCGUUAAGUUGCAGGGUAUAGACCCGAAACCCGGUGAUCUAGCCAUGGGCAGGUUGAAGGUUGGGUAACACUAACUGGAGGACCGAACCGACUAAUGUUGAAAAAUUAGCGGAUGACUUGUGGCUGGGGGUGAAAGGCCAAUCAAACCGGGAGAUAGCUGGUUCUCCCCGAAAGCUAUUUAGGUAGCGCCUCGUGAACUCAUCUUCGGGGGUAGAGCACUGUUUCGGCUAGGGGGUCAUCCCGACUUACCAACCCGAUGCAAACUACGAAUACCGAAGAAUGUUAUCACGGGAGACACACGGCGGGUGCUAACGUCCGUCGUGAAGAGGGAAACAACCCAGACCGCCAGCUAAGGUCCCAAAGUCAUGGUUAAGUGGGAAACGAUGUGGGAAGGCACAGACAGCCAGGAUGUUGGCUUAGAAGCAGCCAUCAUUUAAAGAAAGCGUAAUAGCUCACUGGUCGAGUCGGCCUGCGCGGAAGAUGUAACGGGGCUAAACCAUGCACCGAAGCUGCGGCAGCGACACUAUGUGUUGUUGGGUAGGGGAGCGUUCUGUAAGCCUGCGAAGGUGUGCUGUGAGGCAUGCUGGAGGUAUCAGAAGUGCGAAUGCUGACAUAAGUAACGAUAAAGCGGGUGAAAAGCCCGCUCGCCGGAAGACCAAGGGUUCCUGUCCAACGUUAAUCGGGGCAGGGUGAGUCGACCCCUAAGGCGAGGCCGAAAGGCGUAGUCGAUGGGAAACAGGUUAAUAUUCCUGUACUUGGUGUUACUGCGAAGGGGGGACGGAGAAGGCUAUGUUAGCCGGGCGACGGUUGUCCCGGUUUAAGCAUGUAGGCUGGUUAUCCAGGCAAAUCCGGAUAAUCAAGGCUGAGGUGUGAUGACGAGGCACUACGGUGCUGAAGUAACAAAUGCCCUGCUUCCAGGAAAAGCCUCUAAGCAUCAGGUAUCAAAUCGUACCCCAAACCGACACAGGUGGUCAGGUAGAGAAUACCAAGGCGCUUGAGAGAACUCGGGUGAAGGAACUAGGCAAAAUGGUGCCGUAACUUCGGGAGAAGGCACGCUGGUGUGUAGGUGAAGUCCCUGCGGAUGGAGCUGAGACCAGUCGAAGAUACCAGCUGGCUGCAACUGUUUAUUAAAAACACAGCACUGUGCAAACACGAAAGUGGACGUAUACGGUGUGACGCCUGCCCGGUGCCGGAAGGUUAAUUGAUGGGGUUAUCCGUAAGGAGAAGCUCUUGAUCGAAGCCCCGGUAAACGGCGGCCGUAACUAUAACGGUCCUAAGGUAGCGAAAUUCCUUGUCGGGUAAGUUCCGACCUGCACGAAUGGCGUAAUGAUGGCCAGGCUGUCUCCACCCGAGACUCAGUGAAAUUGAACUCGCUGUGAAGAUGCAGUGUACCCGCGGCAAGACGGAAAGACCCCGUGAACCUUUACUAUAGCUUGACACUGAACAUUGAGCCUUGAUGUGUAGGAUAGGUGGGAGGCUUUGAAGCGUGGACGCCAGUCUGCGUGGAGCCAACCUUGAAAUACCACCCUUUAAUGUUUGAUGUUCUAACGUUGGCCCCUGACCGGGGUUGCGGACAGUGUCUGGUGGGUAGUUUGACUGGGGCGGUCUCCUCCCAAAGCGUAACGGAGGAGCACGAAGGUUAGCUAAUCCUGGUCGGACAUCAGGAGGUUAGUGCAAUGGCAUAAGCUAGCUUGACUGCGAGCGUGACGGCGCGAGCAGGUGCGAAAGCAGGUCAUAGUGAUCCGGUGGUUCUGAAUGGAAGGGCCAUCGCUCAACGGAUAAAAGGUACUCCGGGGAUAACAGGCUGAUACCGCCCAAGAGUUCAUAUCGACGGCGGUGUUUGGCACCUCGAUGUCGGCUCAUCACAUCCUGGGGCUGAAGUAGGUCCCAAGGGUAUGGCUGUUCGCCAUUUAAAGUGGUACGCGAGCUGGGUUUAGAACGUCGUGAGACAGUUCGGUCCCUAUCUGCCGUGGGCGCUGGAGAAUUGAGGGGGGCUGCUCCUAGUACGAGAGGACCGGAGUGGACGCAUCACUGGUGUUCGGGUUGUCAUGCCAAUGGCACUGCCCGGUAGCUAAAUGCGGAAGAGAUAAGUGCUGAAAGCAUCUAAGCACGAAACUUGCCCCGAGAUGAGUUCUCCCUGAGACUAUAAGUCUCCUGAAGGAACGUUAAAGACGAUGACGUUGAUAGGCCGGGUGUGUAAGCGCAGCGAUGCGUUGAGCUAACCGGUACUAAUGAACCGUGAGGCUUAACCUUACAACGCCGAAGAUGUUUUG